rnacentral:lncRNA from 1 species
GAAAAUAUCCGACCAUCAUGAACAGUUUGAAAGAGAUAUAUACUGUGGUGAGAAGGAAAUGGACACGGAUAAUUAUAUGCAGUUGACAUCGGCACAAAAUAGAAUAUACAUGAUGGAGAAAAGUGACAUCGGAGCACUAACCCGUCUGCUUCUGCUUCCUCUCACUAACUUGCAUGCUCUAGAGAAGACCCCUACCAACAGCACCGUCUGUCUGCCUGAGGAACUAUCACCACUAGAGAUGGAAAACCUGAGACAUAUUUGCUUUACUCCAUUAGAGAUGGAAAACCUACCAUGCCUUGUCCAUCCCUGAAUACUCUUUUACUGGUUGCAGCCCUUGGCACUGAGGUCAUCCAAGCUUCCAUGGCUCUGUUCAUCUGAAGCUCCGAUACGGUGGUUACCCGCUGAGUGGCAGAUCAACUGAGCUGUCAUGCCACCAUCAAGAAUAAACAUAAGGAAUCAGAAGCAGCUAUUACAAACAAUCAAAAGAACACCCUUGAUAUGACACAUUUUGGCAUCAUCCACGAAGCAAGUGACCUCAGACCUUGCUUCAACAAGCAGCAGGCAAAGGACCUUCGGGCUAACGAAGAAUGAUGCCUCAGACCCGGACAAGACGACCAAGUGACCUCCAUGUUGUUCGACGCCGUACAUGUCGACGCCGGACACCCCAAAGCCGCUCCACAAAAUAUGGGACGACGCCGACUCGUACAGUGUCGACACCCCGAGGCCGUUCCGCAAAACUUGGGAUGGUGCCGCAUGACACCGACCCGUACGGGUUAGUCAACGCUCGACUGUAGGGUACAAGUCAUCCUCCUAAGGAGUGGGCGGUCAUUAAAUGACCGCGUACAACUGACUGUCUCGUCAAGGUAUAAAAGCCAACCCUCUUACCAAUAAGGGGGGACUUUGACACUCAACUCUCUCUCAUUUCACCAAAAUCUAACUUAAGCUUCGAAAUGGUCGAGUCGGAAAAUCCUCCUCCCGACCUCGACCUGUGUAUAGGAGCCCAGCGACGAAGAGGCAGGCCACUUGCCAAGAGAGAAGACCGCGCUUGAGGGACGAGGCUCGAACCCGACCCGACGCUCGCCCUCACCACCUGAGCAUCCACGUGGGUAACCUUGUACAUUCGAGACUGGACCGAGCCGUGAUGACACCUCGGCCAUGACGUGAAGGUUCACCAAUAUUUUGGCGCUAGAAGGAGGGCCCGAUGUUGCAAGGAUGCCCCCAACAAAGCAACCCGAGAGAGCACCCCGGAGAAGAGCCACCCCCAACUCACCCGACCUUCGGGUUUGGAGGGCAACUCCCACUUCCUCCGAGCAUAGAAGGGAAUGCCUCGGUCACGACCUUGAGUCGCUAUUGGCGGUUAUUCAAUGAUCUUGGGUCUAUCGCCUCCCGAGAUCAUCAUGGGGAAACCUGCUGUCUCAGCCGAGGUGUUCCUCAACCUCACCCCCCAGGUGCAAGCGUUAAUUGGGAUAAUGCAGACCAUCGCACCCCUCAUACCCUAGCUAGCUCAGCAGACGAUUCUCCCCCCACGGCCAUCACCCGUGAUCCAACCUACGCUCAUCCCUACACCUCACAAUGCCACCCUGGUCGACCAGCCACCUUUAGCUCCAAAUGCCCACUCCCUAAUUAGGGAGCAAUCGAGACACUCGAGGCCAAUGGCAGAGCGCAACAUCUAUGUGCCCAAAUGCGCUACCUUGACCUUCCUCGAAGCCAACACCCUAUCGAUCGACUUGGUUGACGACUCGCUCCGGGCUCAGUUGCAGUUGAUGAAUUGGCGCCUGGACGAGGUUCAAAGGGAAUCCCAUAAAUCCAAGGAGGAGCUUGGGGAAAGUACCUUGAUCGGGUCUCCCUUUGCCCAAGAAAUUCAGGACAACCCUAUCCCCCUCAACUUUUAUCUCCCGACGUUGGAGGCCUAUGAUGGUGGCUCUGAUCCAAAAGAGCAUGUCGCCACCUUCCGGGCCCAGAUGGCCCUAUAUGGCACUUCUAACGCCUUGAUGUGUCGGGCAUUUCCUACCACCCUCCAAGGCCCGACUCGAAUGUGGUACAACCGAUUGAGGCCGUCCUCGGUCUCAUCUUUUGAUCAGCUUACAAGGGAACUCAAGCUUCACUUCUUAGCCAGUGCACGACCUAAACCGUCUAUGACCAUGCUCCUCGAGCUAAGGCAAAAGGAAGAUGAAUAUCUCUCCCUCUUCGUCGCCCACUUUGCUACUGAGAUCCGAGGGAUUCCAGAUACCCACCCCUCUUUUGAUAUGCAGGCGUUCUUGAUGGGCCUACGACAAGUUCUUUUGGUCGUUGGUCGAGAGACCACUAGUGACCAUUCCCAAGAUGCUCUAACGGGCCAACCAAUAUAUUGCUAUAGAGGCACUAGUGGCAAGAAAGUGCAAGGAGUCACACAAAAGGCCUCGCCAAGAGCUACCUAUGUGAGCAAAUCGGGGAAAGAAGAAAGCCCGCCACGAUAAGGCCAGAAGAAGAUGAGCCCAAGAUGUGCAAAAAAAAAAAAAAAGAGGUGUUUCCCAAGAUAUUCAGCCAAUGCCCGAGCUACGUUACUCGACCAAUCCAGUCCACAGUGCCCAAACAGUGCUUCUUAGCCAAACAUGGGCUCGAGUAGUGUUGCUCAGCCAAGCCAAUGCCCGAGCCAUGCCUCGUGGCCAGUCCAAUGCCCGAGCCACGCCUCACGGCCAGCCCAAUGUCCGAGUCACGUCUUGGCCAAGCCAGUGCCCGAGUAGUGUUGCUCAACUGAUCAUGUGCAAUAAGUUGCUACUCGGUUCAGUCAUGUGUAGCAAGUCGCUGCUCGGUUAGUCAAGAUUCGAGCAACUGAUCGAGCAAACAUGGGCCCGAGUGAUGCCGCUCGGCCAAGCCAGUGCUCGAGUAGCGCAACUCGGUUUAGUCAUGUGCAACAAGUCGCUACUCAGUUCAGUCAUGUGCAGCAAAUCAUUGCUCGGUUCAGUCGAGAUCUGAGCAGCUGCUCGGUCAAACAUAGGCCCGAGUGAUGCUGCUCGAGCAGCGUAGCUUGGUUCAGUAAUGUGCAGCAAGUCGCUGCUUGGUUCGGUCGAGGUCCGAGCCACUGCUCGGCCAAACAUGGAACAGAGUGAUGCUGCACGGCCAAGCCCAUGCGCGACCAACGCAGCUCGGUUCAGUCAUGUGCAGCAAGUCGCUACUCGAUUAGUCAAGAUUCGAGUAGCUCCUCGGCCAAACAUGGGCCCGAGUGAUGCUACUCGGCCAAGCCAGUGCUCAAGCAGUGUUGCUCGAGCAGCGUAGCUCGAUUCAGUCAUGUGCAACAAGUCAAUGCUCGGUUCAGUCAUGUGCAGCAAAUCGCUGCUCGGCCAAAUAUGGGUCCGAGUGAUGCUGCUCGGCCAAAUAUGGGCCCGAGUGAUGCUGCUUGGCUAAGCUAGUGUUUCUUGAGCAGUGCAGCUCGGUUCAAUCAUGUGCAACAAGUCACUGCUCGGUUCAAUCAAGAUUUGAGCAGCUGCUCAGCCAAGCAUGGGCCUGAGUGACGAUGCUCGGCCGUUCGAGCAGUGCAUCUUGGUUCGAUCAUGUGCAGCUGUUAAUCUCGGAUUUUGAUGAUGAAACCAAUUGAUAAGUGUUUAUAUUUUAAUUUGCAUUUUCAGUGACGCAGAAUGCUUCGAUUAGGAUGAGACAAUUAAAGCAGGAAGAAUCAUGUUGUGCCGGGGGAAAACAUGUCAGAAGAUUGGACGUCAGGCCGGUGGAUCGGUCGACAUAUCGACAAAAGGCUUCGGGCCAUGGAUUUGGGCAUCGAGCUAAGAAGAGUGGAUAUUGUGCCAAGGAUAUCAGAGUUGCGGAGUCAACUGAGCGAUUGGGCAAUAGGCCGCAAGAGAGGACGAUGUGCCGAAGAAUCGGACGAAGCGUCGAGGGACUAAUGACAUGCCGGACAGCAUGAUUAAUACUUAGUAUUAAUUGUCUAGAUCAAAGUAUGUUUUUACAUAUGCAGAAUUAACUAUGAUAGCAAGGCAUGAAGCAAAAUGAAGUCCCAGAGUCAAGGACACGACUUCGUUGGGAGUUCAAAAGUUCGUCGGAAGUCCGGACGUUCGUCGGAAGUUCUGGCAGAACUAGCCGAGAAGUCUCGGAGCUUGCCAGAGAAGCUCGUCGGAACUCGCCAAGAAGAUCGUCGUGAAGUCCAGGAGCUUACCGAGAGUCCGUCGGAACAUUGUCGAGAUAGUCGGAAGUUUGCCGGAAGAUCACCGGAAGCUCGCCGAAAGAAUAGACUUACGGACUUGUUUAGCUCAGAUUAUGUCUUAGAUUUCAUAGUUAGCACGUAAUUGGGUUUGAAUUUGGGCCAACCCAAUUAGAGGCCAGCUAAGCCCAUGUAAGGACUGUGUUGGGCCCAAUGAGAGGCCCAAACAGUGCCCCAAGAAGUCUCACCGUCGUGGCACAGUCUUCGAGACUGUGUCAAGCGGUGGUAUUGCCAGUCUGGGCGAUUGUACCGCCCUUGGUAGGGGGCCAGGAGGUGGCACCGCUAGUCUAGGUGGUGGUACUGCCCCUGGCAGGGUGCCAAGUGGUGGCACCGCCAGUUUGGGCGGUGGUACCGCCCAGCACAACCACCCAGGCGGUGGCACCGCCAGUCUGGGCGGUGGUACCGUCGCUAAUCUACCGCCCAGUGCAGGCGGUGGUACUGCCCGUGCCUAGGAAACCCGGGAUGAGAUGUUUUUAUGCUCCAAGUUUGAAUCAACUUGAAGCCUAUAAAUACCCCUCUCAUCCCUGGUUAAAAGACACAAGCACAGAGUAUUCAAAAGUGAGAAAACGCUACUGCAAUCUCUUUAGAAAUUCCCUCCUCCACUCUAAGUUUAAAAUUAUGUAAGAGGAGUGUGAGUGCUUGUAAGGGUUGUCUCCUAAGCCCGUGAAAAGAAGAAGAGGGGUGUAAAAGGUGGUUGGUCUUUGCCUAUUGAAGGAAGACCAAUAGUGGAUGCCGGUGGCCUCGACGGAAGAAGAAUCGGCAAAGUGGAUGUAGGUCACGAUGACCGAACCACUCUAAAAUAUGGUUUGCGUUUUAUUUGUGCAAUUUACUUUAACUGUAAACCUCCUUACUUGCUCUUUACAUCCACUACUCUUUUACGAACACGCUUUCAAGUUAACAUCUUUACGAAACCGGUUUUAUCGUAACGAAGUUUUUAAACCGACAUUAUUUUACCGCUGUACUAAUUCACCCCCACCCCGCCCCCCCCUUAGUGCCGACCCCGCUCUUGAUCCUAACAGCAUCAAGUCGCUGCUCGGUUCAGUCGAUGUCCGAGCAGUUACUCGACCAAACGUGUACCCAAGUGAUGCUGCUCGACCAAACAUGGGCCCGAGUUAUGUUGCUCAGCCAAGCCAGCACUCGAGCCACGCUGCUCGGCCAGGCCAGUCCCCAGUACCCGAGUAGUGCUGCUCGACCAGUCAUAUGCAGUCGUAAUCAACCGCUUGGUCUAAGGUGGAUCCAAGCAAUGUUGCUCCGACAAGUUCAGAUAGAUCGUUUGACUAGCCCUACAUCCAAGACUCGAUGAUUGGUCGACUUGACCCUCCGAAGAUGUUUAACGUGUUCGGCGCCAAGCGGGAAGUCCCUGGCCAACCAGUAGUCGUGCCACUAAUCCCGACACAAUGAAUGACCCAGCUUACAAGACGCACCACGCCUGACACAUUUUAGCACUAUCCAUGUAGCAGCAGACAAAGGACCUCCGGGUUGUUGAAGAACGACACCUCAGACCCGGACAAGGCGACCAAGCGACCUCCCCAUUGUUCGACGCCGGACACCCCAAAGUCGCUCCACAAAAUACGGGAGGACGCCAACCCAUACAAUGUUGGACACCCCAAGGUCGUUCUGCAAAACUCGUGUCACACACCCUGAAUUUAAUUCUCAUUCAAGAGGUGUGACCCUAUCUUAAAAUCGAUAAUAUUUUAAUCAGCAAUAAUCCAUUCCAGGAUUCAAACACACAUUUGAGGACAUUGAGAAAACAUUCAAGUCACAUCUAUAAUUCCAUAAUUCAUAAGAUCUAUGCAGUUUAAAAUCAUAUACCACAUUACUCGAUGAAUCGUAAAAUCUAAAACCAACUCACAAAGACAAUAACCACCUCAUAAAUCCACAAGUGUAGUAUUCUAUAUAAUCACUAAAACCAAUGUUUACCACAUGUUCAUAUCAUUACACAAAUUUACUUAACAGUCCAAAAUCCUAAACAUGAGAAGUUCUUUAAACUUUCACAAAACUCAUAAGUUCAUAUUUACCAUCAACAUUCUAUUAUACACCAAGUGUACUUAUACAACAAAAAUAUAUCAUCCACAAAAGGUUUGCCCAAAGCCUUUUAGCUUUCUACAGCCUCAACCCAAUUUAAACAUUCUAAUGAGCGAUAAGCUAUCCUAAAAAAUUUAUAUAGCAAUGGAGUGAGCAUAUAGAGCUCAGCAAACGACUAACAUAUCCAUGGCGAAAGAGCCUAGUUUUCAAGCAAAUAAGGUACCAAAUACAAGGCAGGGAUACAAGAGUUCAUAGAUAGCCACUCAACGAAUGCAGAAUUACAAUGUUAUUUCAUUCGAAGCAUGUUUUGUUCAUAACAAGGGAGUAAAGACUAAUUGGAGCAAAUCAAUGACGUAAGGAGCAUUUCGGAGCAUAUCAAUGGCAUAUGAAAUAUUUCGGAACAUAUCAAUGGCAUAAGAAACAUUUUGAAUCAUAUCAAUGGCAGAUGAAAUAUUUCGAAGCAUAUCAAUGGCGUAUAAAAUAUUUCGAAAAAUAUCAAUGGCAUAUGAAACAUUUCGGAGCAUAUCAAUGGCGGAUGAAACAUUUCGGAACAUAUCAAUGGUAUAUGAAAUGUUUUGGAAUAUAUCAAUGACAUAUGAAGCAUUUCGGAGUAUAUCAAUGGCAUUGGAAACAUUUCGAAGCAUAUCAAUGGCGUAUGAAAUGUUACAGAGUAUAUCAAUGGCAUAUGAAGCAUUACGGAGCAUAUCAAAGACGUAUGAAAUGUUCGAAGCAUAUCAAUAACAAAUGAAACAUUUCGAAACAUAUCAAUAACGUAUGAAAUGUUUCAAAACAUAUCAAUGACAUAUGAAGAAUUUUGGAGCAUAUCAAUGGCGGAUGAAACAUUUCAGAACAUAUUAAUGACGGAUGAAAUACUUCGAAAUAUAUCAAUGGAAUAUAAAGCAUUUCGAAGUAUAUCAUUGGUAUAGGAAGCGUUUCGGAGCAUAUCAAUGGUGUACGAAAUGUUACGAAACAUAUCAAUGACAUAUGAAGCAUUUCGGAGCAUAUCAAGGACGUAUGAAAUGUUUCGGAGCAUAUCAAUAACAAAUGAAACAUUUCGGAAUAUAUCAAAGAACAAAUAUGAAAUAGAAGCUCAAACGUCGCAUAUGACGUUACAUACAUUUAAUUUUUAUCCAAAGCACAUGUAGAAGCACAUAAACAAAGCUUUGGAUAAUAUAUCAAAUACAUAGAUGGUGAAGUGGGAUCAUAACAUAAUAUGGUCCAUCCAUUUUUUAAUAUGACCGCCAAACAUAAUCUAGAGCAUUGCGGGCUCUAGGCACAUAACAUUUACCAUUUCUAGCAAAGGUUCAAAUAAUCCAUUUAUCAUUUCUGGCAAAGUUUCAUAUUAUUCCCACAAACACCAAAGUACAAAAGGGUAUUGUGAAUAAUAAAUUAGGACAUAUUGGAAACACAUGCAGAACAACAGAAUGCAUGUGCCUAUACGAAACAUUACGACACAAACAUGAACAUUACAUAAUAGAUUCAGGUAUACAAAAAAUUAAAGGACAAGAGUAUACAGGAAUUCAAAGCAAUAAUGGAAAGCUCAAGUGAACUAAGGAUAUUGGCUGAAAUCAAUUUCCAAAGAGAUGAAACAAGAAUAGGUGAAAUCAACCAAAGCUCGAUUCUGACAGAAUUUGAGAGGCACAUUGCAUGAAUUAUUUGGAUAACCAAUUAUGCUCUAAUUUGCACAAAAUAGGGGUCAUUCGAAAGAUGUAUUAAUCUAGCUUUAGAUAAAUCAUGUUUUGUAUGAAUAGAAGUUUCCAACAAGGAGUUAUAAAUAAUUUAGUAACUAAAGGUCAAAGAACAUUAUCUCUGUUUUGUAGAAUUCAUAGAGUUGAUUAGAACAGAUGAUUUAAUAGGCAUUUAUACUCUAAAUUAUUCAAAUUAGAUAGCACAGAAAGAUUUAUGAGUCUAGUUUCUGAUAAAUCAUAUUUUGCAUAAAUCAGAGUUUUCAUCAAUAAGUUAUAAGCAAGAGAGUAUUGAAAUGUCAAAACCGACAAUCUCUGUUUUACAUAUUUCAUAGGGUCAAUUGAAAUAAUAGUUUCAGUAGGUAAAUAGACUCCAAAUUUAUCAAUCUUGGUAUCAAAAGAUAGAGCUGUGAGCCUAUUUUCAGAUGCAUUUGGUUUUUAUAAAAUCAAGAAUUUGUGCAGAAAGUUAUGGCUAGCACAAUACAGAAAAGUCAAAUCUCGAAAAAUUUCAGAUUCAUAGUUUUAUUCUCAAACGAUAGAAAUAUCAAGUAUGAAUCCAAAAUCUUCCAAAAUUUUUAAAAUUAAGAUGAAAUCAGAUAUCAAGAUUUCUGUAGAAAGGAGUUAGAACACUUAUCUUCGAAAAAUUUGAGUCUCAAAUGUGUGGAAUUGAUGCAAAAUCUUAAGCCAAAGCAAAGCUUUUUCUUCCUCUUCAACUUUAAUUCCUCUUCCCUUCUCUUCUCAAACCCACGUUGGUUGCAGCUAAGUUUUUCUCCUUUAAUUUCUCAUCUAAUUACUUAGGUUUGGCUAACACAAGGAUUGCAAGGUGACAAGCAUGUAUGAAAGAAGUCUAUGUGUCAUCCUUAGAACAAACAUAGGUGGCACAAACCUUAAGUUAACUAGUGACACGUGUCCAUCAUUUUUUUUAUAAACCUAAUAUGAAUCUUUUACAAAUCAUAUCACAUUUCUAAUAUUUACAUUUAGGUCCCUACAUUACAAAUAGACCCUUACAAAAUUUUAAAAAAUGAGGGAUGUUAUAACUCUGGAUGGCGCAACAUGGCGCUGACCCAUAUAGGCCAGUCAGUGCUCGACUAUAGGGUACAAGUCAUCUUUCCGAGGAGUCGACGGUCAUUAAAGGACUGCGUACGACUGACUACCCCGUUGAAGGUAUAAAAGCCAACUCUCUUACCAAUAAGAGGGGGACUUCGAACACUCAACUCUCUCUCAUUUCACCAAAAGUUAACUUACACUUCGGAGGGGUCGAAUCAGGAAAUCCCCCUCCUGACCUCGACCAAUGUGUAGGAGCCCAGCAACAUAGAAGCAAGUCACUCGCCAAUAGAGAAGACCGCGUUUAGGGGACAAGACUCAAACCCGACCCAACUCGAUGCUAGCCCUCACCACACGAGCAUCCACGUGGGCAACAUUGUACAUUCGGAAUUGGACCAAGUCAUGCUGACACCUCGACCAUUGUGUAAAUCAAAUGUGAAAAGUUCUAAUAGCGAGUGACUUGGAUGAUUGCCAUGAGUGACUUGGAUGAUUGCCAUGUAGCUUGUAACAAUAGAUUACUGUCUCAGUACUCCAUAAUUUAUUGUCAAUUAAUUGUGGACAUUUAUGUGUAAAAAUUCCAGAGAGAGAGAGGAAGAGAGACCAGAAAUUUUACUUCCAAUCAAGAGGGACUAAAUGUUAAAAACUAAUGAAAGAAGGGAUGGGACUGUAUAUACUGCAGAGGGACUAAAUUUUGCUCUUAGCUGCCUGCUUCCAUUAAGAACAAACUCAAAAGAGAAGUCUAUUGUUUCUUUCAAAAUCUAAUCCAUAUACUCUCACAUUCAAAUAGAUCAUCACAGCCUCCACCAUAAAAAGAAAAUUAUAAUUGGAAAGGACUUGCACGCAUUGUAGGGUAGAUGGGCUAAUGGUUGGAACAUGUUAACUGAAGGAUUCUAAAUAAAAGAAUAAUAUUGGAGAGGAUCCUUACAGAAAGCUAAGUUAGGGCUUCUAUGUCCAGUCAAGAGCAUUGCUCCACACGGUACACGGGACAGUGUGCCAACCACAUUGUUUGUGAGGGCUUCUAUGUCUAUCCAUGACUGCUUGUGUAUACAUCUGACCCAAAACCCUCUUGCCUCCUUGAUGUGUUGUGUCACAUUCAUGACUAAACACUUGAUCAGAUGUACACACAAGCAAUCAUAAAUAGAGCAAUAAUUUCGACACCCACAAAAAAUAAAGAAAGAAAAUCUAAUCAGCAACAAGUUUGGUGAUGUUUCAAGUUUCAAUCAAAGCACACAUAUUAGGUUUGUUAAUGAACCACAUGUUGACCCCUGUCAAUUUUCUUCUCAAAGUUCAUUCUUUUCUGUCAUAUCUCUAAAGCAGAAACAUCAAACUACAAUUUGAGAUGUGGAAAGGGAAAAGAGAGUCAAUGUUGGAAGAUCUGAAGAGGCAAUAAAAAUUGAAAGAUUCUAGGUGUUAGGGAUAGGAGGGAUGAUUCGUAAAGAGAAAAGAAUUAAGAAAAUAAACAAUUGACUUUUGCAUUCAUGGGGAAAGGAGAAAGAAGAAAUGUUUAGUAUCAGAGAGGAACGAAUAAUAAUGGGAAAAUAAACCAAGCGGACAGUAUCCAUAACAUAAAAUAAUAAUUGGUAAAUCAACCAGUGGUAGCAGCAUGUGGAAUCCACAACUUCAGAAAGCAGAUCAGCAGACUAGAAGAGACUCCUACGAAUAUCUUUACUUGAGUAGAAUAAGUAUUUAAGUAAGAGAUUAUUUUAUGUAACUUCACAUAAAUAAAACAAGAUGGCCCAAUGCAUAAUGUUCCUAGUGAUGUGAAGUUUGGAAAGGGUCAAUGUAUGCAACCUUACCCUUCUAACCCUUCUUCUAAUUAGUGAUGUAACCUGCUCUGCAGUGUAAGCUACCAUCAAUUGAUUAAAGUUGGUUUUGGAUACCAAAAUAAAUGAACUUAAAUGAGGCACCAUCAUAAAGUCCAGAGGUCUACCCUAGGAAUCCACAUAAUUAACUUUUAUAGGAAGACAACAAAUAAAAAUACUCCAACUAUAAUGUCUUAUUUUCAAGCAAAUAAAAAUGAAUGACAUCAUAAAACAAUAUGGAAGGGGAGCAUUUACAAAUUCAAUUGCACCAAGUUACUUGAACUAACAAGAUCUUACUGAAGAGUUGUUUAUGCUUCCAAAAAGCUCAAAGGUUGAUGGAAACAAGCCACCUUCCAGAGGAAGAAUGUCAUAUGGUUAAAGAAGUGAUGGCGAGCAUUUACUAUGUUCCACCAGAGAGUGUCAAAACACUUUGCUCCAAAAGUGUCUCUCCACAUAAACCAAGUAUCAGCCACAUGCACUUUAACAGACCACGUUUCAUGAGAACAAAGUAUUAGACUAGAGUAUGAUUUCAUUUGUAAUCUUACCAGUUGAACUCAUGAACCAUAUCUCUUCCUAUAGUAAACCUAAACCAAUAAAAAACUUGCAGAUAUUAAAAAAAAGAGAAAUUUCAAUUACCACAAAAAUAACCCAACCAGGACUUCUCAUAACCAGAUGUUGUCCCAUCAGACUCUCCAUGGGUGAGAUAGUAAAACCUCUCAAUUCAAGUUAUAGAGCCAAAACACACACGUACAGACACAACAAUAGAAAAACCAUUCUUCCACAGCAGAAAGCCAACUCAUGCCUACACCAACUUUUUUUUGCCAUAGUUUGGAUUUAAAAUUCAUUCUAGUACAGAGGAAAAUAACUGAUAUAUAUAAAUAAAUAAAUAAAUAUAUAUAUAUAUAUAUAUAUAUAUAUAUAUAUGAACU